CAAAACCAUACUGCAAAUUGAAGUGUCUCGACCCCCUAGACAACAGAAAUGUCCCAGCAUUUAUGAGUAAAGGGACUGUUUAAGACUGAAAACAGGUCAACACAUUUGAAUUAAGAAUUAAGAAACAGCUCCUCAAACAAUAUUUUGCUUCAGAUUUUACCCUUUCCCUUCCAGUUAGUGCAGGCUGUUCAAGCAAGGAACCCUUUCAGCACAAGUUGUCGUAUCAAGCCCACUUGCUUCUGUGGAGAUGACAGUCCAGUCAAGUGGCUGCAAGCUCUGCUAAGGUACCCUACAGACUUAAGUGGCAGAGGAGCCAAUGUACCACAGAGGAAGAGCUUGGCUGGACCCCAGAUCUCCUGCCCUUGCAGGAUAUGCUAUGAUUCGAAUGCAGCUGGCCAUGCUGCACAAACAUCUGCCAGCUGACAGACAAAGUGAGGCAAGUGAAGAUGUGAACAGAGCAGCAGAGGCUGCACAAGGCU